ACACCGACAACUCUUCUGGCUGCCUUGGAGGAGCGUUGUGGCAUGCUGCCGUUGGAGGUGGUCAUCGAGUUUGCGUGCCCUUCUCACGAACUUUGGCUCACCUUCUCGAUGGUGGAGAAGUGCAUCGAGUUGCUCUUUUCAUCGAUGAAGUUCAAGUGCUGCCGCUGCUGGAUCCAGCUUACAUGCUGGAGCAGAUUGAUUUGUGCUGAGCCGGGUGCUCUGGAGUACAGGAGCAAGAUCAGCUUUGAAGGCCUCCCCAACCAGUCCUGGAUGACGGAAUUGGUGAAAGCAAUUCUGAAAGACCUUAGUGGCGAACUCAUUGAGAUCCUACCGCCGACAAACCGCCGUGAGCUCGAGGUAAUGGCUUGGCUUCGUGACCCAUUCUAUGUUGGCAAGCUGGUGACAGUUGAGAUACCUGAGCCACCGUUGUUUAACAAGCAACCGAAGUCGAUGGAUGAGUAG
rnacentral:rRNA from 1 species